GUCGAGAAUAUUCGACAAUGGAGGAAACUCUGAUCGAGCGACGCCGCGUGCAGGAUGAAGGUCUUCGGAUUGUAAACUGCUUUUCAUGGGGAGAAAGAUAUGUCGCGUGCGGCAUAUUUGCUAGUACUCAUGGAAUAAGAAGCUGCAAACCUCGUGCCAGCAGCCGCGGUAAGACGAGGGCUUCGAGCGUUAUCCGGAUUUAUUGGGCGUAAAGAGUGAGUAGGAGGUCCUGUGCGUCCUUCUGUUAAAUGUCUCCGCUUAACGGGGUCACCGCAGGGGAUACGGCAGGACUAGAGGGCACUAGAGGCUCGUGGAACAUAUGGUGUAGGGGUGAAAUCCGUUGAUAUCAUAUGGAACACCGAAGGCGAAGGCAGCGAGCUGGGGUGCACCUGACUCUCAAUCACGAAAGCGUGGGGAGCAAAAAGGAUUAGAAACCCCGGUAGUCC
rnacentral:rRNA from 1 species